UAAGCGGAGGAAAAGAAACUAACAAGGAUUCCCCUAGUAGCGGCGAGCGAGACGGAAAAGCUCAAAUUUGUAAUCUGGGCGUCUACGACGUCCGAGUUGUAAUCUCGAGAAGUGUUUUCCGUGAUAGACCGCAUACAAGUCUCUUGGAACAGAGCGUCACAGUGGUGAGAACCCAGUACACGAUGCGGAUGCCUAUUACUUUGUGAUACACUUUCGAAGAGUCGAGUUGUUUGGGAAUGCAGCUCAAAUUGGGUGGUAAAUUCCAUCUAAAGCUAAAUAUUGGCGAGAGACCGAUAGCGAACAAGUACCGUGAGGGAAAGAUGAAAAGCACUUUGGAAAGAGAGUUAACAGUACGUGAAAUUGUUGGAAGGGAAACACAUGCAGCCAGACUUGCUAUUCGGGGCAACUCGAUUGGCAGGCCCGCAUCAGUUUUUCGGGGCGGAAAAUCAUAGAGAGAAGGUAGCAGUUUCGGCUGUGUUAUAGCUCUUUAUUGGAUUCGCCCUGGGGGACUGAGGAACGCAGCGUGCUUUUAGCAUAAGCUUCGGCUUAUCCACGCUUAGGAUGCGGGUGUAAUGGCUGUAUAUGACCCGUCUUGAAACAC
rnacentral:rRNA from 1 species